GUGGGGAAUAUUGGACAAUGGGCGCAAGCCUGAUCCAGCCAUGCCGCGUGAGUGAUGAAGGCCCUAGGGUUGUAAAGCUCUUUCACCGGAGAAGAUAAUGACGGUAUCCGGAGAAGAAGCCCCGGCUAACUUCGUGCCAGCAGCCGCGGUAAUACGAAGGGGGCUAGCGUUGUUCGGAAUUACUGGGCGUAAAGCGCACGUAGGCGGACAUUUAAGUCAGGGGUGAAAUCCCGGGGCUCAACCCCGGAACUGCCUUUGAUACUGGGUGUCUGGAGUAUGGAAGAGGUAAGUGGAAUUCCGAGUGUAGAGGUGAAAUUCGUAGAUAUUCGGAGGAACACCAGUGGCGAAGGUGGCUUACUGGUCCAUUACUGACGCUGAGGUGCGAAAGCGUGGGGAGCAAACAGGAUUAGAUACCCGAGUAGUCC
rnacentral:rRNA from 1 species